rnacentral:rRNA from 1 species
AACUUAAGGUAGAGGUAAUUGAAAUUAUUCUCUUAAUAAUUAAAUAUUUAAGUAUAAAAAUCAUUAUUAUAAUUAAAUAUAGACAAAGAUAUAGGUAUAAACCGAUCUAAGCUAGAAAUAGUAAAAUUAAUAUUAGAAAUAUCUGAAUUGAAACAUCUUAGUAAGAUAUUAAGAAACCAAUAGGGAGUAUUUGAGUACUGGUGAAGGAAAGAAUAUAAGUCUAUAAGUAAUAUUAAAUAAUAUAAAAAUAGUAGAACUACUACUAAGACUAAAAAUUAAUUAUAAGUAUAUAGUACCGUGAGGGAAAGAUGAUUAAAUAAAGAAUAAAUAUAUAAGAUUAUAAAUUAUUAUAUUAAAUAAUCUGUAUAAGAUUAGAGCUGUAAUAGGCGAAUAUAAUUGAACGGUCGCCCUUUUUUAUUUAUAAUAAAAAAGGGCGGUUAUGAAUAUAUGUUAUAUAUCUAAAAAUACUUAAAUAAAGAGCAACUAUAGUAAUAGUGUACCUCUUGUAUAAUGGGUCAGUGAGUUAAUAUUAUUAGCAUAAUAUAAUUAAUAAAUUAAUUUUUAAUAAUAAAAAUAAGAAGUUAAUAAUAUUAGACCCGAAAGUAUAUGAUUUAUACAUAAUCAGAGAAUGUAUUUAGGAGUAUGUAAUAUGGAUUGGCCCGCCUUUUAUAUAAUAAAAGGCGGUUAUGGAUGAUAUUUUAUAUCUCCCCAUUUGAUCAAUCGUAUCCUAUUAAUAUUAUAUCUUUUAAUAUUUAAGAAGAUACAUAUUUAUAUUUUAAUAAUAUAUAUAUAUAUUAUAUAUAAAUAGUUAUAUUAUAUAUAAAUAAAUAUAAUUGCUCGAACAGGUAGGUGUUGCAAUACCUUCUGAAGAAUUAUGUAUCGAUGUGAAAGGCUACUCUCAUAUACCGAUAGCUGGUUAUCUGUGAAAUAUAUUUUAGUAUAGCCAUUAAUAAAAAAAUAAUACUAGGUAAAUCACUUAAUUUGAGGUGAUGAUGAAGUAAUAUUAUGUAGCCCUGCCCAAUAGGGCGGAGUCAUGGUACUAUGGAAUCAUCCUAUGGGAGUUUAUUAAACUUAUCAUACGAAUUAAAUAUCUGAACUAGUUAUAAAUAUAUAUUAAUGAGUCAAUUUAUAUGCGAUAAGGUAUAUAAAUGAAAAGGGAAUAACCUAGAUUAUUAAAUGUAAGUCCUAAAUAAAGACUAAGUGGUGUGAAUCUAUAUGAAGAGGAUACCGCCGCCCUUGCUUGCAAGGGCGGCUAUGUGUCUAAUUAGCUAAUUUAUCUGUAGAUAUGAUAGUAAUCAUCUCUUAAUGAUUGUGUAACAACUCAUUUAUUAAAUAAUAAGAUUAUAGAUAAGAUAUACAGGCCUAAGUCUUUGACUGAAUUAUAAAAAGAUAUAUAUAUAUAUCUUUAGUAACAGAUUAUAUUAUAAAUAAAAUAAUAAAGAAUAUGCUGACUUGAGUAACGUAAGAAAGGAUAAGCCUUUCCUCCGAUAAACAUAAGGUUUUUAAUAUAAAUUAACGGUCUCUAAUUAAUUAUUAAUGAAAAUAAUAAUAAGAUGAGUGAUAUAAUAACAGGAAAAUGAGAUAACCGUACUGGAAACCGACACUGGUAUGUAAUAAUGUAUUGGGGAACGCCGCCUUUAUUUUAUAAAGGCGGCGCAUGAAUAUUCAUGCUGUUUUCUAGAAUAUAUAAUAUAUAUAUAUUAAUACAUUAAUUAGGAGUAUGAGAUAAUCCAUAUGAAUGAACUCGACAAUUAAGAAGAAUAAUAUAACUUCUAUAUAUAGUGCGACUGUUUACCAAAAACAUAGCUUAUUGCAGUUCUGACAAGAAUAGUAUAAUAGGUGAUACCUGCCCAGUAUUUAAGAUAUAAAUAUAAAUAAGGAUUAAAUAAACGGCGGUCUUAUCAUGAGGAUCCGAAGGUAGCGAAAUUCCUAGACGCUUAAUUGGCGUCCUGCAUGAAUGAAUAUACGAUGCUAUAAGUGUAUCCAUAUGGGGCUCAGUGAAAUAGUAAUUGCAGUGAAGAUACUGUAUAGCAAUAGAUUGACGAGAAGACCCUAUACAGCUUUACUAUAAAAUUAUUUUGAUAUUCGAUACGUUGUAAAAUUGUAUCGUUAACAACUAAAACUACAGUAGAUUACCCCGCCCAAAGGGCGGGGCAUCACUAUGUUGCUUUAAGUGAUAAGUUGAUUUGGAAGUUAAAAUAUCUAAUCUAAUAAUAAGAAUAUAAUAUAUAGUAAUAUUAAAUGAGAUUGUACUACCCGCCCUUUAUUUUAAUAAAGGGCGGGAUACUUAGGAUAUUUAUAUAUCCCCACUUAAUACUACUUUAUUCUUAUAGAUACAGAAUAAUUUUGUUAGUUUCGAUGGGGCGUCGACAUCACACAAUUUAACUGAUGUGUCUACAUGAUAAUAUAUUAUAAAUAACUUAUUAAAUUAUAGGUUAUAACAGUAUAGACUGAUACAGUAAUAUUAAAUGGUAAUUAAUAAUAUAAUUAGCUUGUAUAAGCAAUUAAAUGUUAAAUAUAAUAACAUAACUGUGUUUUGAUAAAAUAAUUUACAGAUUAUUUUAAUACGUAAGUAUAGUAUAAUGAACAGGCAAUAACUGAAGUAAAGUAUGUCGAUAACGAAUUAAAGUUACGUUAGGGAUAACAGGGUAAUACCGCUAGAGAGUUGAUAUCGUCAGCGGUGUUUGCCACCUCGAUGUCGUCUAGGCUCAACCUUAUGGUCGUAGUAACUAUAAAGGGUAUGACUGUUCGUCAUUUAAGGAGCUACUUGAGAUGGGUUAAUUACGGCGUGAGCCAGUAAUGUUUCUAUCAUCUAUUGCAAAAUAACAAUUAUUAAAUUAUACGUGUACGAGAGGAUAAUGUAAUGUGAUUCCAUGGUGAUGACACUAAUAGGUACGCCGCCCUUGCAUCGCAAGGGCGGCUAUGAUUAGAUCUAUAAUUCCCUCAUUCAAUAUUCUUAUCUUUUUUAUAAGAUAUUUAUAUUAUUAUAGAUUCUUUAUUAAGUCAUAAGCUAAAAUCAUAUGUAAUAUAUAUUGAUAUCAUAUCAAAUAUUAAGUCAUUAAUAAAUUGUUAUAAGAACAUUUAAGAUAAAAAUGUAAAUAGUGAUUAAAUUAAGGAGAGUUAUAUCUUUAUUUAGAGAGAGAUAAAUAUAACCUGAGUGGCCCCCGCCCGAAGGGCGGGCAUCCACUUAUUUACUUAGUAUCACUAA